GGGUUGUGAGGUUAAGCGACUAAGCGUACACGGUGGAUGCCCUGGCAGUCAGAGGCGAUGAAGGACGUGCUAAUCUGCGAUAAGCGUCGGUGAGGUGAUAUGAACCGUUAUAACCGGCGAUUUCCGAAUGGGGAAACCCAGUGUGUUUCGACACACUAUCAUUAACUGAAUCCAUAGGUUAAUGAGGCGAACCGGGGGAACUGAAACAUCUAAGUACCCCGAGGAAAAGAAAUCAACCGAGAUUCCCCCAGUAGCGGCGAGCGAACGGGGAGGAGCCCAGAGCCUGAAUCAGUGUGUGUGUUAGUGGAAGCGUCUGGAAAGGCGUGCGAUACAGGGUGACAGCCCCGUACACAAAAAUGCACAUAUUGUGAGCUCGAUGAGUAGGGCGGGACACGUGGUAUCCUGUCUGAAUAUGGGGGGACCAUCCUCCAAGGCUAAAUACUCCUGACUGACCGAUAGUGAACCAGUAC
rnacentral:rRNA from 1 species